rnacentral:rRNA from 1 species
ACUCCUACGGGAGGCAGCAGUGGGAAUAUUGGACAAUGGGGCAACCCGUGAUCCAGCAAUACCGCGUGUGUGAAGAAGGCCUGCGGGUUGUAAAGCACUUUCAGUAGGGAAGAAAGCAGAUGGUUAAUACCCAUCAGUCUUGACGUUACCUACAGAAGAAGCACCGGCUAACUCCGUGCCAGCAGCCGCGGUAAUACGGAGGGUGCAAGCGUUAAUCGGAAUUACUGGGCGUAAAGCGCGCGUAGGCGGCUUGGUAAGUCAGAUGUGAAAUCCCA